UCCUGGAUAGUCCAGUGGUUAAGACUCUGUGCUUCCAAUGCAGAGGGUGCAGGUUUAAUCCUUGGUCAGGGAA
rnacentral:tRNA from 1 species